AACGUGGCUUCACUUCACAUCAGCCACGCCGCUUUGCUAGCUAAAACACCGGUGUCGGCACAUAAGGACGCUGUCAUAGCCUGUCAACAACGUUGAUUAGCUGCGUAUGUAGGAAUGUGAAUCGCGUGAUUGGCUGGACUGUGGGAUAAGGUGGCAUCGUUCUAAUCCCAUACUGGAGCAGCCAGUCACUUACUGACUAACACUGCAAAACAGAAAUGUUAACGUAUUUAUUUUAAUUUCAAUUCAGGUUAGAAUUUUUUUUGUGCACAACGCAGAUUUUUUUCUGCGCAGAGACUGUGCCAGCAUUGCGCAAUUGCGCAUGCGUGCAGCUUAGAGGGAUCAUUGGUUAGCAGUGUAUAAACGAUAGUUUAGCAUAUAUUAGCACAGGUAUCAAUAAAGGACUACUGUAUUAAACACUUUUACUAACCGCAUGCAGAUGGACAGGCGCUCUGCAGGUGGGAUUGAGUGCCUGAAGUUGGUGUCUAGGCGGGCGAUGCUUGGACCAACGCGGGACAGCACCAGAGGUGGGUAGUAACGAGCUACAUUUACUCCGUUACAUUUACUUGAGUAAGUUUUUGAAAAAAAUGUACUUUUUAAGUACCUUUUUUGCACGAUACUUUUUACUUUUACUUGAGUACAUUUGUGAAGAAGAAACGGUACUUUUACUCCGCUACAUUUGCAAAAUUCGACUCGUUACUUUUUUAAUAAUUAAUUUCACACAUUGGAUAAUACUACUAAUAUAAAUUAUGGAUCAUGCCGCCACUGGAGCUACCGGUAACUCUUUCACCAAUCAGACGUAGCCAUGCGGUCACAUGACCAGAUAUAAAAUGGCAGGCCGAGUAGCCCAAGCCUUUUCAACUUCCAAAGACGGACAGAAGAAAUACAUCAAAAAAUGGCAACCGUCUCCGCUAACACUGAACAGGACAAACACCCUUGGCUGCAUAUGCAAAGCAUGUUUCGCUUUAAAGGAGUACAAAAGGACAGCUAUAUAAUGCGAUGUCUUCUGUGUGAGCCAAAGCAAACCGACGUCUCAGCGUACAAAAACUCAACAUCUAACCUGAGGAAACAUGUUGCGAGGGUUCACUCCAACAAAUUGAGGAUGUAUACGGAAUUAAUGGACAGCCACAGAAAACGAAAGUCAUCCUCUUCUACCGAGCCACCUAUGAAGAACGCAAAACUUACAGACUCUUUCACAGGCUCUAGGUGAAUAACACAA